rnacentral:lncRNA from 1 species
UGUAUAAAUGCAUUGCAAAGACAUUGACUAUGCCAAGUCUAAUAGAAGAGCAACUAAUCCUUGGCUGUUACUACAGUUCCUACUUGCCCCUGUCAUUUGAAAAUUUUCAGCCAAUCAGUAUCUUGGGCUCUAUCAAUGAUGUAAGUAAAAUGGCAAAAGUUCGAAAUGAAGAAUGUUUUAAGUUAUACUUAAAACAUUUAAUAUAUUCUUUAAAUUAUAUUUCACUCAAUAAUAACUCAAAUAAACAUGGAGGAUUCUACAAACUGUGAAAAUUUAACUCAUGUGCAAGAAGACGCGUCGUAGAUUCUAAACCUGGUUAGUGGCUGGUCUAGAAAUAUACUUUAGUAACCGGUUUUCUAGUCCUCGUCUGAACUGCGUCUGUUAAGACGCUU